GAGACAUAUAAUGAAAUGCUAUCUUUUUUAUUUUUGUGAAAGAGAACACCACAGUUUUGGUGGCUUUGAUCAAAUGACCACAGGAAAGGUUAGAAAGGAAGGGUGAUCCCUGAUUAUAAAAAGUUUUGGAAAACUUUUAAUCAUUUUCCUCUGAUUGAUCUAAUCAUUAUUGUAAAAAGGGACUACAGUUACUAUUUCUAUAACAAUGUUAUGUCAGUAUGAGUCACAAAGAGUAAGGGUCGGAGGAAGAAAGCUCUGAGUAUGCAACAGUUGCAACCUUGCUUUGAAAGGCCUGAAUGGCAUACAUAAAUCCAUACAUACAAAUAAGUUGAGACACUAUAACACUCACAGCUUUUAAUUCCAAAAUUAAACAAUCCAAAAUACAUGGGAGGUUCUCACCACAAAUGCUUCUUUUCUAUUUUUCCUAUUUCUUAUCUUCCUUAGCUAUUCAGGGAUGAAGACAACAGGACAUGAGAAUAGGAAAGAGCAGCAGACUCUAUUUAUGUAUUGUAGAAAAUUUUCAUAUAUAAAAAUAAAUAACAAAAUUAAUAGAUCCAUCAAAGCUUUGUGAAAAAACACAAAUCAGGAAAAAACAAUAUGGUCUGGCACUACUCUUUUAAACCUGUGUGAAAUUCUCUCUGAAACCAUGAGAAUUUUCAAUUUCUCAUCAUAAUGAUGCUUCAAUGCUUGGGCCUUGCAAUGAGGACUAUGUGUCCACUACUGGCUAUCGAUAACAUACAGUCUGUGCCCAAAAUCACCAGUGGAAAUUAAUGGCUAAUGUAAAACCCUGUUACUAUUCAUCUUUGAAAGAAAAGAAUUAUUUUUCUGUCAUCAGUCAUCCACCCUGCAACAAAAACUGAAUGCAAGUCUUAAUGCUGUGAUUCAUUUUUCCAGUCAGAUCAAGAAAGAAAUAAACCUGCAACUAAAAGUGUGAAAAUACUGAAUUGUGUUCCUUGGAGUAACCAGACUUCUUCUGUGGGAACUGCUAGAAGAAAAAAUUUCAAUGUUACAUCAAGGCUACUUGGGAAAUGAAUUCUUAAAAAUGCCAUAAGGACAAUCUGCCUUCCAGAUUUGUCACCCUUCUCAAGAUAGAAAUUUCAGUAUUAACAAUACGUCCAAAGCAGAGUCAAGAAGAAAACCAUAGGGAAAAUGUACUACUUGUACUUUCACUGGAUCCAGUAAAAGGAACCACUUGGGCUGUAUAUCUACCUUGUGCUUUAAACAAGCAAGCAUUCAUCUCUGAAGAUGGGUUGCAGUAAAAGAACUGCAAAACAGCACAAGACAGAGUGGAGGAAGAAGGAAGCUCCAUUAUGGAUGUGAAGAAAAGGAAUAAGAUGCUGUAUUGUGUUGCUGAGCAGAUUGAAGUUACUCAAGACUUGAAUGCUGAAACACUGGCAGAUUAUUCAUAGGAAUGUGCUGACCACAAUAACAUCCGCUACAAAGCAAUGGAAAUUUGAAGGCAUCUUUUAACUGAGGAAACAUCACUGUGAUUUGCUGUCAAUUAGAAGCCUGCAGGGAGAUUCACAGAAAGAUCCCAUCAAGAGAUAUCCAAUCUGUUCUAUGGCAAGUUUGAUAUCAGCAGAUGUCAUGGAGACUCAAGAAGGUUCCUUAUCAUUUCCCACUGUAUGAAGUAAGAAUUGUAUCUUUACUUUUUGAAACAUGUACAAGAGCUUUAUCAAAAUUAUCUCUGAAGGGCUGCUAUGAAUACUAGAGCAGAUAAAUACACGUGACUUGGAAGAAAUCCCAUGCCAAUUUAAUAAAGCUUCUGAUGUUCGGGCACAGUUUGAGAUACUUGUCUAAAGUCUAAAUCAAGCUGUUGUGGAUUGUCUCAUGACUCUGUUCAUUGCUGAUUCACCUUUAAAUUUAAAUUGAGCUUUUGUUAAGAGUCAUUUGAA